ACCUAGUGAUAGGUAUACUUUAGGAGGGGCUUGCGCCAUAUUAGUUAGUUGGUAGGGUAAUGGCCUACCAAGACGAUGAUGUGUAGCUGGACUGAGAGGUUGAACAGCCACAUUGGGACUGAGACACGGCCCAAACUCCUACGGGAGGCAGCAGUAGGGAAUUUUCGGCAAUGGAGGAAACUCUGACCGAGCAACGCCGCGUGAACGACGAAGUACUUUGGUAUGUAAAGUUCUUUUAUCAAGGAAGAAAAGCAAGUGGUGAACCAUUUGUUUGCCGGUACUUGAUGAAUAAGCCCCGGCUAAUUAUGUGCCAGCAGCCGCGGUAAGACAUAAGGGGCAAGUGUUAUCCGGAAUUAUUGGGCGUAAAGGGUGCGUAGGCGGUCUAGUAAGUCAGUGGUGUAAUGGCAACGCUCAACGUUGUCCGGCUAUUGAAACUGCUAAACUUGAGUUAGAUAGAGGCGAGUGGAAUUUCAUGUGUAGCGGUAAAAUGCGUAAAUAUAUGGAGGAACACCAGAGGCGUAGGCGGCUCGCUGGGUCUUAACUGACGCUGAGGCACGAAAGCGUGGGGAGCAAACAGGAUUAGAUACCCUGGUAGUCCACGCCGUAAACGAUGAGUACUAAGUGUCGGGUUAAACCGGUACUGAAGUUAACACAUUAAGUACUCCGCCUGAGUAGUACGUACGCAAGUAUGAAACUUAAAGGAAUUGACGGGACUCCGCACAAGCGGUGGAUCAUGUUGUUUAAUUCGAAGAUACCCGAAAAACCUUACCAGGUCUUGACAUGUUUUUGCGAAACGGUAGUAAUAUCGUGGAGGUUAUCAGAAACACAGGUGGUGCAUGGUUGUCGUCAGCUCGUGUCGUGAGAUGUUAGGUUAAGUCCUAAAACGAGCGAAACCCUUAUCGUUAGUUGCCAGCACGUUAUGGUGGGGACUUUAACGAGACUGCCAGUGAUAAAUUGGAGGAAGGUGAGGAUCACGUCAAAUCAGCAUGCCCCUUAUGACCUGGGCUACAAACGUGAUACAAUGGCUGUUACAAAGGGUAGCUGAAACGCAAGUUCUUGGCCAAUCCCCAAAAACAGUCUCAGUCCGGAUUGAAGUCUGCAACUCGACUUCAUGAAGUGGAAUCGCUAGUAAUCG
rnacentral:rRNA from 1 species